rnacentral:rRNA from 1 species
UACGAGAGGUGCAAGCGUUAUUCGGAAUUAUUGGGUGUAAAGGGUGCGUAGGCGGCUUUUUAAGUCAUCUGUUAAAUCUUCCGGCUUAACCGGAAGCUCGCGGGUGAUACUAUUAGGCUAGAGUAUGGAAGAGAGAAGUGGAAUUCUCGGAGUAGCGGUAAAAUGCGUAGAUCUCGAGAGGAACACCAAUGGCGAAGGCAGCUUCUUGGUCCAUUACUGACGCUCAGGCACGAAAGCGUGGGGAGCAAACAGG